rnacentral:rRNA from 1 species
GCCUGCGCGGAAGAUGUAACGGGGCUAAACCAUGCACCGAAGCUGCGGCAGCGACACUAUGUGUUGUUGGGUAGGGGAGCGUUCUGUAAGCCUGUGAAGGUGGCCUGUGAGGGUUGCUGGAGGUAUCAGAAGUGCGAAUGCUGACAUAAGUAACGAUAAAGCGGGUGAAAAGCCCGCUCGCCGGAAGACCAAGGGUUCCUGUCCAACGUUAAUCGGGGCAGGGUGAGUCGACCCCUAAGGCGAGGCCGAAAGGCGUAGUCGAUGGGAAACAGGUUAAUAUUCCUGUACUUGGUGUUACUGCGAAGGGGGGACGGAGAAGGCUAUGUUGGCCGGGCGACGGUUGUCCCGGUUUAAGCGUGUAGGCUGGUUUUCCAGGCAAAUCCGGAAAACCAAGGCUGAGGCGUGAUGACGAGGCACUACGGUGCUGAAGCGACAAAUGCCCUGCUUCCAGGAAAAGCCUCUAAGCAUCAGGUAACAUCAAAUCGUACCCCAAACCGACACAGGUGGUCAGGUAGAGAAUACCAAGGCGCUUGAGAGAACUCGGGUGAAGGAACUAGGCAAAAUGGUGCCGUAACUUCGGGAGAAGGCACGCUGAUAUGUAGGUGAAGCGACUUGCUCGUGGAGCUGAAAUCAGUCGAAGAUACCAGCUGGCUGCAACUGUUUAUUAAAAACACAGCACUGUGCAAACACGAAAGUGGACGUAUACGGUGUGACGCCUGCCCGGUGCCGGAAGGUUAAUUGAUGGGGUUAGCGGUAACGCGAAGCUCUUGAUCGAAGCCCCGGUAAACGGCGGCCGUAACUAUAACGGUCCUAAGGUAGCGAAAUUCCUUGUCGGGUAAGUUCCGACCUGCACGAAUGGCGUAAUGAUGGCCAGGCUGUCUCCACCCGAGACUCAGUGAAAUUGAACUCGCUGUGAAGAUGCAGUGUACCCGCGGCAAGACGGAAAGACCCCGUGAACCUUUACUAUAGCUUGACACUGAACAUUGAGCCUUGAUGUGUAGGAUAGGUGGGAGGCUUUGAAGUGUGGACGCCAGUCUGCAUGGAGCCGACCUUGAAAUACCACCCUUUAAUGUUUGAUGUUCUAACGUUGGCCCGUAAUCCGGGUUGCGGACAGUGUCUGG